rnacentral:rRNA from 1 species
GGGUCAGUAGGUUGGUCGUGCCACCGGUACGUACUGGUCCCACUGAUUCCUCCUUCCUGAAGAACCGUAAUGCCAUUAAUUUGGUGUUGCGGGGAAACAGGACUGUUACUUUGAAAAAAUUAGAGUGUUUAAAGCAAGCUAACGCUUGAAUACAUUAGCAUGGAAUAAUGAAAUAGGGCGAUCGAUCCUAUUUUGUUGGUUUCUAGGAUUGACGUA